AAGCGUAUGGUUGCUAUAGCGGUUGAUGAAAGUGAGCACUCUUCUCAUGCCUUUGAAUUUUAUUGUGACCAUAUACAGAAAGAUGGCGAUUAUUUAACGUUGAUACAUGUACCAGAAUCCUAUGAUUUAACAUUAGCCAGUCCUGCUAUAGUAGAACAGUUAUAAA